rnacentral:rRNA from 1 species
GGGGGGUGCAAGCGUUGUUCGGAUUUAUUGGGCGUAAAGCGCGUGUAGGCGGUCUUAUAAGUCUGAUGUGAAAGCCCUGGGCUCAACCCAGGAAGUGCAUUGGAUACUGUAAGACUUGAAUACGGGAGAGGGCAGUGGAAUUCCUAGUGUAGGAGUGAAAUCCGUAGAUAUUAGGAGGAACACCGGUGGCGAAGGCGGCUGCCUGGACCGAUAUUGACGCUGAGACGCGAAAGCGUGGGUAGCAAACAGGAUUAGAUACCCUGGUAGUCCACGCCGUAAACGAUGAGAACUAGGUGUUGCGGGUAUUGACCCCUGCAGUGCCGUAGCUAACGCAUUAAGUUCUCCGCCUGGGAAGUACGGUCGCAAGACUA